UUGAGCGGAGGACAACAUUUGGAAACGAAUGCUAAUACCGCAUAAAACUUUAAACACAAGUUUUAAGUUUGAAGAUGCAAUUGCAUCACUCAAAGAUGAUCCGCGUUGUAUAGCUAGUUGGUGAGGUAAAGGCUCACCAGGGCGAUGAUACAUAGCCGACCUGAGAGGGUGAUCGGCCACAUUGGGACUGAGACACGGCCCAAACUCCUACGGGAGGCAGCAGUAGGGAAUCUCCGGCAAUGGACGAAAGUCUGACCGAGCAACGCCGCGUGAGUGAAGAAGGUUUUCGGAUCGUAAAACUCUGUUGGUAGAGAAGAACGUUGGUGAGAGUGGAAAGCUCAUCAAGUGACGGUAACUACCCAGAAAGGGACGGCUAACUACGUGCCAGCAGCCGCGGUAAUACGUAGGUCCCGAGCGUUGUCCGGAUUUAUUGGGCGUAAAGCGAGCGCAGGUGGUUUAUUAAGUCUGGUGUAAAAGGCAGUGGCUCAACCAUUGUAUGCAUUGGAAACUGGUAGACUUGAGUGCAGGAGAGGAGAGUGGAAUUCCAUGUGUAGCGGUGAAAUGCGUAGAUAUAUGGAGGAACACCGGUGGCGAAAGCGGCUCUCUGGCCUGUAACUGACACUGAGGCUCGAAAGCGUGGGGAGCAAACAGGAUUAGAUACCCUGGUAGUCCACGCCGUAAACGAUGUGUGCUAGAUGUAGGGAGCUAUAAGUUCUCUGUAUCGCAGCU
rnacentral:rRNA from 1 species